CCCUUAGAUGUUCUGGGCCGCAUGCGCGCUACACUGAUGCAUUCAACGAGUUUCUUCCUGGUCCGAGAGGAAUGGGUAACCUUUUGAAAGUGCAUCGUGAUAGGGAUAGACUAUUGCAAUUAUUGGUCUUCAACGAGGAAUUCCUAGUAGACGUAGUUCAUCAGACUGCAUCGAUUACGUCCCUGCCCUUUGUACACACCGCCCGUCGCUCCCACCGAUUGAAUGCUCAGGUGAGCCAUUCGGACUUUCAUCAUGCUGGUUUCCAGUUUUGAUGAAGGAAAGUCUUGCGAACCUUAUCAUUUAGAGGAAGGAGAAGUCGUAACA
rnacentral:rRNA from 1 species